rnacentral:rRNA from 1 species
GGAUUGACGUAACGGUCGUGCCUUAAGGGGUAUGAACUAUUACUGUCAAUUUCUCACCUUCUGGAAAAAUAUGAUGUCCUUAAUUGGGUGUCUUAUGGAUCCAGGACUUUUACCUUGAAAAAAUUAGAGUGUUUAAAGCAAGCUUAUUGCUCGAAUACAUUAGCAUGGAAUAAUAAAAUA